rnacentral:rRNA from 1 species
UACGGAGGAUCCAAGCGUUAUCCGGAAUCAUUGGGUUUAAAGGGUCCGUAGGCGGUUUAAUAAGUCAGUGGUGAAAGCCCAUCGCUCAACGGUGGAACGGCCAUUGAUACUGUUAAAACUUGAAUUAUUAGGAAGUAACUAGAAUAUGUAGUGUAGCGGUGAAAUGCUUAGAGAUUACAUGGAACUACCAAUUGCGAAGGCAGGUUACUACUAAUGGAUUGACGCUGAUGGACGAAAGCGUGGGUAGCGAACAGG